rnacentral:siRNA from 1 species
UAGAAUUGCAGUCUUGCCUUCU